rnacentral:lncRNA from 10 species
UUUUAACCCAAUGUUGUAGACAGUAUUUUCACACGGUUGCUUAAGGCAAGUGCUCUCCAUAUAUAUGGCAAACAUAUAUAUAUAUAUAUAUGACAAAAAUAUAUAUAUAUGGCAAAAUAUAUAUAUAUAUUUGAGAUAGAAUUUCGCUCUUGUUGCCCAGGCUGGAGUGCAAUGGCACGAUCUCAGCUCACUGCAAACUCUGCCCCCCGGGUUCAAGUGAUUCUCCUGCCUGUUAGCUUUCUUAGAGUUACCAGAGAUCUCCAUGUUGCUAAAGCCAAUAGUCUUUUUUUUUUUCCUGUUAUCUCUUCUUGAAUAUUGUAAAGACACUUCUGGCUCAACAUGUCUAAAACUGAAGCCGAAAUCUUCUCCUUGAAUCCUGAUUUUCUUUUGCCCAAAACUGCUUCUUGUUCUUAGAAUAUGGUACCUUUGUUAGGCUGUUCUUGCAUUGCUAUAAAGAAAUACCUGUGACUGGGUAAUUUAUAAAGAAAGGAAGUUUAAUUGGCCCAUGGUUCUGCAGGAUGUAGAGGAAGGAUGGCGCUGACAUCUGCUAGGCUUCUGGGGAGGCCUCAGGGAGCUUCCAAGCAUGGCAGAAGGUGAAGGGGGAGCAGACACUUCACAUGACCAGAAUAGGAACAAGAGAGAGAGACAGGGAGGUGCUACACACUUUUAAACAACCAGAUCUCAUAUGAACUCUUUUAAACAACCAGAUCUCAUGAGAACUCACUCACUAUUGCAAAGACAUCACCAAGCCAUGAGGGAUCCACCCCUAUAACCCAAACACCUCCCGCUAGAUUUCAUCUCCAACAUUGGGGAUUACAACUCAACAUGAGAUUUAGGUGGGGACAAAUAUCCAGACUACGUCAGCACCAGUUGCUCUUAAUUCUUCUCUCUUUCUGACCUU